AGUGAACGCUGGCGGUAGGCCUAACACAUGCAAGUCGAACGGCAGCACAGUAAGAGCUUGCUCUUACGGGUGGCGAGUGGCGGACGGGUGAGGAAUAUAUCGGAAUCUACUUUUUCGUGGGGGAUAACGUAGGGAGACUUACGCUCAUACCGCAUACGACCCACGGGUGAAAGCAGGGGAUCUUCGGACCUUGCGCGAUUGAAUGAGCCGAUGUCGGAUUAGCUAGUUGGGGGGGUAAAGGCCCACCAAGGCGAGGAUCCGUAGCUGGUCUGAGAGGAUGGUCAGCCGCACGGGAACGGAAACAGGGUCCAGGCUCCUACGAGAGGCAGCAGUGGGGAAUAUGAGACAACAGUCGCAAGCCUGGUCCAGCCAUACCACGUGGGUUAAGAAGGCCUUCGGGUUGGAAAGCCCUUUUUUUGGGAAAGAAAAGCAUCAGGUUGAUACCCCGCGUUUCUGACGGUACCCAAUGAAUAAGCACCGGCUAACUUCGUG
rnacentral:rRNA from 1 species